rnacentral:rRNA from 1 species
UCUAUCAAACAUACCACCAUGGACGCACCCCAUCUCGUCUAAUCUUGGAAGCUAAGCAGGGGCCGGCCUGGUUGGUACUUGGAUGGGAGUAAUUGUGCUGUUUAUAGAU